UAGCCGUAAACGAUACUCGCUAGGUGUCGGCCACGGUGCGACCGUUGUCGGUGCCGUAGGGAAGCCGUGAAGCGAGCCACCUGGGAAGUACGGCCGCAAGGCUGAAACUUAAAGGAAUUGGCGGGGGAGCACAACAACGGGUGGAGCUUGCGGUUUAAUUGGAUUCAACGCCGGAAAUCUUACCGGGACCGACAGCAACAUGAAGGCCAGGCUGAAGACUUUGCCGGAUUAGCUGAGAGGAGGUGCAUGGCGUAGACGUCU
rnacentral:rRNA from 1 species